GACGAACGCUGGCGGCGUGCUUAACACAUGCAAGUCGAGCGGAAAGGCCCUUCGGGGUCCUCGAGCGGCGAACGGGUGAGUAACACGUGAGUAACCUGCCCCAGACUUUGGGAUAACCCUCGGAAACGGGGGCUAAUACCGGAUACGACACAGCUUCGCAUGGGGUCUGUGUGGAAAGUUUUUCGGUUUGGGAUGGGCUCGCGGCCUAUCAGCUUGUUGGUGGGGUGAUGGCCUACCAAGGCGACGACGGGUAGCCGGCCUGAGAGGGCGACCGGCCACACUGGGACUGAGACACGGCCCAGACUCCUACGGGAGGCAGCAGUGGGGAAUAUUGCACAAUGGGCGGAAGCCUGAUGCAGCGACGCCGCGUGAGGGAUGACGGCCUUCGGGUUGUAAGCCUCUUUCAGCAGGGACGAAGCGUAAGUGACGGUACCUGCAGAAGAAGCGCCGGCCAACUACGUG
rnacentral:rRNA from 1 species